rnacentral:rRNA from 1 species
UACGUAGGGACCAAGCGUUGUUCGGAUUUACUGGGCGUAAAGGGCGCGUAGGCGGCGCGGUAAGUCACUUGUGAAAUCUCUGAGCUUAACUCAGAACGGCCAAGUGAUACUGCAGUGCUAGAGUGUGGAAGGGGCAAUCGGAAUUCUUGGUGUAGCGGUGAAAUGCGUAGAUAUUCGCAAGAACACCAGUGGCGAAGGCGGCUCACUGGCCCGGUACUGACACUGAGGUGCGAAAGCGUGGGGAGCAAACAGG